GGGGGCGAUCGGCUUCGACGAGGAAUGGGAUAGCCUAAGCGGCAUGUCGAGUUUCUGCUAACUCGAAAAACUGGCAGAGCACAUAUAAGUGCCGAACCAAUCAACGCACUCGCUGCUUAAUUAAAGCAGUGACGUCUCAGAAAACCUUGCCCGUUGGGUUUUCAUGGGGCGUGAACAAGACGGGAUAGUCCGCAAAUGAUGCUUGGGGCAUAUGUGGAUGAAACAAACACUCAAGCUGGCGUUGAAAAGCCUGCCCAUAGGAUUUUUCAUCGCGAGAACUAAAUAUGGGAUAAACAUGUAGAUGCUGGGUGACGCCCUUUUUCGGACCUGGGUUCGAUUCCCAGCGCCUCCACCA
rnacentral:tmRNA from 1 species